GGAUGGUCUUUAAGGUUCCUUCCAACCCAAACCAUUCCAUGUCGCCCAAAAGGACACUGAGGCAGCAGCACAUAAUAAUGUUCAAUAAAGUAAACCCCAAAUUGUCUAAUUUCCUUCUGUUGUAGGUAAAUUUCGCUGGUGGUUAACCACAUGUCUUUUUAUUGCAGUCUUUCCCAGACUUUAUACCCAGCUGCUUUUAAAUGUUCCUCCACACCCUUCCAAUCAUGCCAGUUACCCUGAGCCCAUUCGUCUGAGGACUGAGGAUUUGGACUUACUCCAUGCUUUUGUGGCUGGAAGUACGAAACUUCAUCUGGCAAACAGUGCAGCUGUAAGGUUUCUCACCCGUGUGAGUUCUUACGUGGAGUUCAAGGUUGCUUAAACUCUCCACUGAAGUCUGUUCCAGAGGGAAGAGGAGAAAACACAUCAGUGAGGACAAAGAGCUGAGCACCACUUAGGGACAGAGCCUUCUAACAACCAAACGCCCACAGAGAGAUGGAGCUGGGGAUUGAGAGACACCAAGUCCCAGCCCACUCUGCGUUCCAAUACUUUCUGCUCCAAGCAGAACUCCUUAUCACUAAGUUCACCUUGAACUUGAUGAAGCUGUAAGACUAGAGAAAAAAUUCAGUCUUAUGGUUAGGGCACAGGAGCCAGGAAGUUUGAUUUCCAUUCCUGAUUUUUUUCUGCAGGUGCAGUUUAGGAGUUACCAUGAGCCAGGGACAAUUUCCCAGGACAGAGAGCAAGACAGAGAAACAAACAGAAGGAAUGACCAGAGAAGAUUUGUUUCCUUACUAAAUCAGGUGACAACCUCAUCUAGAAACAGGAUUGCUAUAACAUGCAAGUAACUUCUUUUUUAUUGUUUAAAAAUAUUUCUUAAAAAGUUGCCUCAAAAUCUGGACUAUACACUGAUCAGGUAUGUUCUGUGGCGUCUUAGUCAGCUUCAUUACUUGUCUGCAUUUGGAAAGGGUGUUUCAAUUGAAAGCAAAAGAGAGAAAUGGUCUUUCAAGUGUUUUUCAACUUUGUUUUGUAUUCUGCAAUCAUAGCAAAAAUCAACGGUAUUAUUCAUGCUGACAAGACUGAAAAUGAUGAAAAAUUAUGGAAAAGGAGUAGCCAAAGUUUUUUGUGUUUGCAACGUUUUCCCUGGUUAAACAGGUCAUGUCCCUCCUAGCCUAUUUUUGUAUUUUCCUUCCAGCUUAGAUUAUUCCAUCCUAAAAUACUUUAGGUUAUUCUUUUAAUAAUGUGAAAAACACGAGUGGCAUUUUAUGUGAUACUAAAAUUCUCUCCCGAAUUGAUUUUCCUCUACAUGUUGCAGAGUACUAAAUCUAGUUUCAAGUGAAUUAAUGCAAGUACAAAAUACUCUUUCUUUUCCAUCAUUUUGCCUGGCACAAGUGACAAUUACACAGUAUGCUGGAAGUGAUGGAGGCAUUCACCAAAUGGUAUGGACUGCUCAUUAGAGUAGGAUGAUUAUGAGGGUGAUUUAGCAGUCAAAAGGCUUUAUAUUUAGAUUUUUACUGUGAGGGUGGUGAGGCACUGGCACAAGUUUCCCAGAGAAGCUGUGGCUGCCCCGUCCCUGGAAGUGGUUAAGGCCAGUUUGGACCAGAAACUUGGUAUAGUGGAAGGUAUCCCUGCUUUCAUAAAUCUGUCUUCACGCUUAUCUGUAUUUCUUUAUAGAGUUUUUGAGAACAGAAGUCCAAUUCUUGCCCCAAACGGAGCUGCAUUCCCUAAUAGUUGAUGUGAGUCCAUACAGCUCAGAUAGAUCUGUUAA